rnacentral:rRNA from 1 species
AGAAUCAACGCUGGCGGCGUGCCUAACACAUGCAAGUCGCACGAGAAAGGGGCUUCGGCCCUGAGUAAAGUGGCGCACGGGUGAGUAACACGUGAAUGAUCUACCUCCGAGUGGGGAAUAACUGAGAGAAAUCUUAGCUAAUACCGCAUAACACUUACGAGUCAAAGCAGCAAUGCGCUUGGAGAGGAGUUCGCGGCAGAUUAGUUAGUUGGCGGGGUAAUGGCCCACCAAGACGAUGAUCGGUA